CCUACGGGAGGCUGCAGUGGGGAAUAUUGGACAAUGGGCGAAAGCCUGAUCCAGCAAUGCCGCGUGAGUGAUGAAGGCCUAGGGUUGUAAAGCUCUUUUACCCGGGAGACUGUACCGGGAGAAUAAGCCCCGGCUAACUCCGUGCCAGCAGCCGCGGUAAUACGGAGGGGGCUAGCGUUGUUCGGAAUUACUGGGCGUAAAGCGCACGUAGGCGGUUUGUAAGUUAGAGGUGAAAGCCUGGAGCUCAACUCCAGAAUUGCCUUUAAGACUGCAUCUUGAACACGGGAGAGGUAGUGGAAUUCCGAGUGUAGAGGUGAAAUUCGUAGAUAUUCGGAAGAACACCAGUGGCGAAGGCGGCUCACUGGCCUUGUUGACGCUGAGGUGCGAAAGCGUGGGGAGCAAACAGGAUUAGAUACCCUUGUAGUC
rnacentral:rRNA from 1 species